rnacentral:rRNA from 1 species
UUUAGCAUGGAAUAAUGAAAUAGGACGCGCGUUCCCAUUUUGUUGGUUUCUGAGAUCGCCGUAAUGAUUAAUAGGGAUAGUUGGGGGCAUUCGUAUUCCGUCGUCAGAGGUGAAAUUCUUGGAUUGCCGGAAGACGAACUAUUGCGAAAGCAUUUGCCAAGGAUGUUUUCAUUGAUCAAGAACGAAGGAAGGGGGAUCGAAAACGAUCAGAUACCGUUGUAGUCUCUUCUGUAAACUAUGCCAAUUGGGGAUUAGCUCAGGAUUUUUAAUGACUGAGUUAGCACCCGAAGAGAAAUCUUUAAAUGAGGUUCGGGGGGGAGUAUGGUCGCAAGGCUGAGACUUAAAGGAAUUGACGGAAGGGCACCACCAGGUGUGGAGCCUGCGGCUUAAUUUGACUCAACACGGGGAAACUCACCAGGUCCAGACACAAUAAGGAUUGACAGAUUGAUAGCUCUUUCUUGAUCUUGUGGUUGGUGGUGCAUGGCCGUUCUUAGUUGGUGGAGUGAUUUGUCUGGUUAAUUCCGAUAACGAACGAGACCUUAACCUGCUAAAUAGACCAGCCGGCUUUGGCUGGCUGCUGUCUUCUUAGAGGGACUAUCAGCGUUUAGCUGAUGGAAGUUUGAGGCAAUAACAGGUCUGUGAUGCCCUUAGAUGUUCUGGGCCGCACGCGCGCUACACUGACAGAGCCAGCGAGUCUACCACCUUGGCCGGAAGGCCUGGGUAAUCUUGUGAAACUCUGUCGUGAUGGGGAUAGAGCAUUGCAAUAAGGGCGA